rnacentral:lncRNA from 1 species
AUGCCUGCCAGUUUUCUGUUUCCUUCUGCUUGGGCUGGAGGGUGUAUGUGUGCCAAUAGCAAAUACCAACACAUAGUUUCACAUUUUUCUUCAGCAUUUUUGCUCUCUCCAGAUUUCAGCACCAUGAGUCAGAGUCCGACUCAUCCUGGCCUGGUUGCAGCCCUGCUUACUGCCAAGAUAUGUAGGGCAAAUAUGCGGCACAAAUCUCACUGUGUUCAACAGAGCUUGGUCCCAGAGAGAAGAGCCUGUCGGACACUAGAUGCCAUUGCAUGUCUAUUGUCAAAUAGUGGAAGAUGAAACAUGCUGUUACAUAUCAGGUAUCAAAUAUUGUUUAAUAGGAUAUAUUUGCUGUUUAAAAACUGUUUUUUAAUUUUUAAGAAUUAUGGGUUCCUUAAGAUCAAACUACAUAGUUCUAUAUACUCAGAAUGAAUUUAUUCUCCAGAGCAAAAUCUUACACAAGGAAAAUUGCACAAUUCAAACAUAAAACUGAGAUAUCAGCAAACUUGGGGGGGGGGGAGAGAGAGAGAGAAAAGUUAGAAAAAUAUUGGAGAUCCCUGAGCAUACUUUUGGUUUUAAAAGAAGAAGGACAUAAGGAAUUCCAAGCCUAGAAUUUAACCAUAUGUUUGAAGUAAAAUAUUAUUUUACACAUAGAUGUUUCUCAUGGAUUCUUCAACUGAAACAGUUUUGAGGCAGCUUAGGUACCUGCUACUAAUUUUCCUGUACAAAGACUCUAGAAAGUCACAAGGGAUACUGGAUGUUUCUAGGACACACUCUGCAUUUACAGUGGGCUGGGUAUAGUGAUAUCUUGACACUGUUCUAUGUAAAUGUGGUGUGCACAUUUAGAACACAGAAAUUUCUCAGUAGACAUACAUGUUGUGGGGGGAAGAGGGAGGUGCCACAUUAUCCUUGUAUGAAAUCUGAACGAUGACUGGAAAAAAUGUACAGACAUAAACUAGCUUAUAUAAACUGGCAACCCUUUGCCUAACAAGAUGAGAAGACACAUUCCAAUCAGCAACACUAGAGAUGGAAUUUGAAACCUGCACCUCUGACUUGAACCUCUAUCCUCCAUUUUGAAAAUUA